rnacentral:rRNA from 1 species
GACGAACGCUGGCGGCGUGCUUAACACAUGCAAGUCGAACGGAAAGGCCCUGCUUUUGUGGGGUGCUCGAGUGGCGAACGGGUGAGUAACACGUGAGUAACCUGCCCUUGACUUUGGGAUAACUUCAGGAAACUGGGGCUAAUACCGGAUAGGAGCUCCUGCUGCAUGGUGGGGGUUGGAAAGUUUCGGCGGUUGGGGAUGGAAUCGCGGCUUAUCAGCUUGUUGGUGGGGUAGUGGCUUACCAAGGCUUUGACGGGUAGCCGGCCUGAGAGGGUGGCCGGCGACAUUGGGACUGAGAUACGGCCCAGACUCCUACGGGAGGCAGCAGUGGGGAAUAUUGCGGAGUGGGCGGAAGCCUGAUGCAGCAGCGCCGCGUGCGGGAUGACGGCCUUCGGGUUGUAAACCGCUUUCGCCUGUGACGAAGCGUGAGUGACGGUAAUGGGUAAAGAAGCACCGGCUAACUACGUG